rnacentral:rRNA from 1 species
UACGGAGGGGGCUAGCGUUGUUCGGAAUUACUGGGCGUAAAGCGCACGUAGGCGGCUUGGUAAGUUAGAGGUGAAAGCCUGGAGCUCAACUCCAGAAUUGCCUUUAAGACUGCCGAGCUAGUAGGUGAGAGAGGUAAGUGGAAUUCCGAGUGUAGAGGUGAAAUUCGUAGAUAUUCGGAAGAACACCAGUGGCGAAGGCGGCUUACUGGCCCAUUCUAGACGCUGAGGUGCGAAAGCGUGGGGAGCAAACAGG